rnacentral:lncRNA from 1 species
CUUUUGGUGCCACCCUUUCUAGGAGUCUGGAGCCUCUGACUCUCUUGCUCUCCCACCAAUCCAACAGCGGUCGUGAGGAGCAAGGUUUGUGAGGGCUCUGCAGCUGCCUGAGGUCCUCAAAGUGUAGCUGCUGAGAUUUUGGCUCAGUAGUUACACAUGAUUUAGUCCAGCCUUAUUUGUUGUGUUGUUGUUUAUUUUUCAUUGCUAUCCAAUACACCUCCCACCAUUUCUUAGCCCUGAGUGAACUCUCACCCCACCAGUUGCCCGUCUUCUUUCUUCAUGGAGAAAAGGGAGAAGAAACCUGCCCAACGUCCACUCCUAGAGAGUGGCCAUCACCUCAUACCUGGUCCAGCAGUCUCCUCAUUCCAUUAUAAUGCUUCUUGCUUUGGGACACCAGAGGAGAAGGCUGAGGAACAGCAAAGUGCGUCCAUUUAAAGUUGAUUUUGAAGACCUAAGGCAAGGUGAAGGGAGGAGACAAGACAUGAGGACGCCAGAUGCCAACCUGAGACAGACUGUGGGGAAUCAGAGGAGACUUGACGGCCCAAAGACAGAAAGACUAGGACAAUCAUCUGGACUCCACAUGUGCAUGGAAUCAGCAAAUGUAAGACUUUGUCUCUUUCUCAAUCUCUGUCUCUCUCUUUCUCAGGCCUUAGACUCUGUCUUCCUCCCUAUCCAGACAGGGCAAGACAUAAGUUUGCCAAAUUCCAUGCUGUUGAGCUGAUCAAUAUGACCCCUGGCCCUUCUCCUGCACUGUGAUAUCGAUAAAACCACUUAAGAGCUUUUGCGUCAACUGGCUUUGUCUUCCCUGCAAUACUCCAUUUGUUUACAGAGCCUUGGCAACUAAAAGAAUGCCUCGGUGUUUUGUCGUUGUUGCUGUUGGUUUUCUGUUUAUUUUGGUGUGUUUACUUUAUAUUUAAUGAAAGCAAGAAAUAGUGCAGAUUGGGAGUGGUCAGCCUUAGUCGUCCUUUGCUUCUUAAACAGGAAGUCUUUUGUUCCCAUCCAUUAACACUUUAGGAGACUCCCAAAUCUAUAUGACCUUCUUGACCCAGAUAGCCUUCUGGACACAAUGGUUCCGUUCUAGAGAAGGGUAACAGUUCCAUAGUUCUGAAUAGGGGAGGAGAGUUAGAUUUAAGUCCUCACAUAAUAAAGCCUUCAAAAUUUUUAUGUUAACA